rnacentral:tRNA from 1 species
GCGCUUGUAGCUCAGUUGGAUAGAGCACUUGGCUACGAACUAAGGGGUCGGGAGUUCGAAUCUCUCCAGGCGCACCA